AAGCUGUUAUAAAGGCACCCACACCAAGCAACAUCACUGAACUAAAGGCGUAUUUGGGGCUUGUUAAUUAUUAUGGCAGAUACAUUCCUAAUCUCUCCACAGUAUUUGCUCCCUUGUACAGAUUACUGCAACGGGACGUGGAAUGGCAAUGGGGACCAGAACAGCAGCGUGCCCUUGCCACAUCGAAACAACUGUUGGCGAGCUCCAAGGUGUUGGUGCAUUAUGACAGCAGCAAGCCCCUCCUGCUCACCUGUGACGCGUCACCAUACGGAUUGGGAGCAGUCCUUGCACACCGUUUGGAGUCUGGAGAGGAGAAACCGAUUGCUUUCGCAUCCCGAUCCCUGAGCAUAGCUGAACGCAAGUAUGCUCAGGUAGAGAAAGAAGGUUUGGCAAUAAUAUUUGGUGUUAAGAAAAUUUCAUAAUUACUUGUAUGGCCGCCAUUUUGAGAUCAUUUCAGACCAUCAGCCACUUAAAAGUCUGUUUAAUGAAACUCGCCCAGUGCCUGUGAUGGCAUCAAGUCGUAUCCAACGCUGGGCGCUAACACUAUCGGCGUAUGAAUACACUAUCACCCCACAAACCAGGGAAAAAUAUAGUACAUGCUGAUGGGUUGAGUCGCCUUCCUCUCCCUGAAUUCCCCAAGGUGACUCCAGUCCCCGGUGAUGUGGUAUGCGUGUUGGAGAGACUAGACCAGACACCCGUCACGUCGAGAGAGUUAAGGCAAUGGACGGAUAAGGACUCAACACUCUCGAAGGUGCAGUUGCUAGAUGGGAGGACUGUACGACGUCAUCUCGACUAUGUGAGGAGAAGAGUAAGCAUAGAGGGCGAGACGGUUAACGCAGAUGAUGCCAUACCACCUCCCAUGGACCUCACAAAUGGAGCAGGAAUUCAGAAACAUGGUUCGGCACCGGCAGGCAGCGUGUCGCCCCCUAAAGGCAGGAGUUUUCGAAGCAGUCCGGAGCACACAACAGCAACGCGCCGGAUCAAAUUCAAGAACGAGAGUUAACCUCAAGUCAAGAGUUCGAACCUGGAUUGCCGCCACAACAGCAGCCGUUGGAGAGGGAAACACUGCGCCGUUCUGAGAGACUGCGCCAGAAGCCAGAUCGUUUGCAGAUAGCUUGGAAAUAAAAUGUUAGGUCUCUUGCUUCACUUGUGUUAACUAUUUUAAUUGUUGGAGUUUUGUAUUACUUUUGCUAGUUUUAGUUACUAUGUUUAUUUUGUUUUUUGUCUCGUGUUUGCGGGUUUUAGCGUUUCUUAUAACUUGUAUCGAAUAUUUUUUUUUCUAGUCUUUCUAAUUGAUAAGUUUUAGUAUCUUCUGUAUCUUUUUUAACAUUUUGGUUGUAAACUUGAUUUUAUGGUUUCUAACCUGAGUUUUUUUUUUAAAAAAAGGGAGGAGUGUUAUAAUUGUUACUACCAAAGUACUACUUGUCAUUCACUGCUUCAUGUAUUGGUUUAUGUAUUAGUUCAUACUAGUUGAUUUCGGAAGCUUCUCUCUGUAUGGAGCCAGUUCAGCUCCAGCCGGCAAGCGGGUAGCCGCUCCUUAAUACAUUGUUACCCCUGGA